rnacentral:rRNA from 1 species
CCGCCUCCUGAUGUAGGGGGAAUCUCGACGGACACGCCGCUGAUGAGAAGGCUUCGGUCUAAAAUCAUUGUAGGGAAGAACAAGUGUAGUUGAUAAGCUGGCACCUGACGGUACUAACCAGAAAGCCACGGCUAACUACGUGCCAGCAGCCGCGGUAAUACGUAGGUGGCAAGCGUUAUCCGGAAUUAUUGGGCGUAAAGCGCGCGCAGGUGGUUUCUUAAGUCUGAUGUGAAAGCCCACGGCUCAACCGUGGAGGGUCAUUGGAAACUGGGAGACUUGAGUGCAGAAGAGGAAAGUGGAAUUCCAUGUGUAGCGGUGAAAUGCGUAGAGAUAUGGAGGAACACCAGUGGCGAAGGCGACUUUCUGGUCUGUAACUGACACUGAGGCGCGAAAGCGUGGGGAGCAAACAGGAUUAGAUACCCUGGUAGUCCACGCCGUAAACGAUGAGUGCUAAGUGUUAGAGGGUUUCCGCCCUUUAGUGCUGAAGUUAACGCAUUAAGCACUCCGCCUGGGGAGUACGGCCGCAAGGCUGAAACUCAAAGGAAUGAACGGGG